rfam:TPA: Bos taurus chromosome 19, whole genome shotgun sequence.
UCCCUGGUGGUCCAGUGGUUACGACUCUGUGCUUCCACUACAGGGGGCACGGGUUCAAUUCCUGGUCCAGGAA